AGUGAACGCUGGCGGUAGGCCUAACACAUGCAAGUCGAACGGCAGCACAGGAGAGCUUGCUCUCUGGGUGGCGAGUGGCGGACGGGUGAGGAAUACAUCGGAAUCUACUCUGUCGUGGGGGAUAACGUAGGGAAACUUACGCUAAUACCGCAUACGACCUACGGGUGAAAGCAGGGGACCUUCGGGCCUUGCGCGAUGGAAUGAGCCGAUGUCGGAGUAGCUCGUUGGCGGGGUAAAGGCCCACCAAGGCGACGAUCCGUAGCUGGUCUGAGAGGAUGAUCAGCCACGCUGGAACUGAGACACGGUCCAGACUCCUACGGGAGGCAGCAGUGGGGAAUAUUGGACAAUGGGCGCAAGCCUGAUCCAGCCAUACCGCGUGGGUGAAGAAGGCCUUCGGGUUGUAAAGCCCUUUUGUUGGGAAAGAAAUCCAGCUGGCUAAUACCCGGUUGGGAUGACGGUACCCAAAGAAUAAGCACCGGCUAACUUCGUGCCAGCCGCCGCCGUAA
rnacentral:rRNA from 1 species